rnacentral:rRNA from 1 species
UACGAAGGGGGCUAGCGUUGCUCGGAAUCACUGGGCGUAAAGCGCACGUAGGCGGCUUCUUAAGUCAGGGGUGAAAUCCUGGAGCUCAACUCCAGAACUGCCUUUAAUACUGAGGAGCUUGAGUCCGGGAGAGGUGAGUGGAACUGCGAGUGUAGAGGUGAAAUUCGUAGAUAUUCGCAAGAACACCAGUGGCGAAGGCGGCUCACUGGCCCGGUACUGACGCUGAGGUGCGAAAGCGUGGGGAGCAAACAGG